UACGUAGGGGGCAAGCGUUGUCCGGAAUCAUUGGGCGUAAAGAGCGUGUAGGCGGCCCGAUAAGUCCGCUGUGAAAGUCCAGGGCUCAACCCUGGAAUGCCGGUGGAUACUGUCGGGCUCGAGUUCGGAAGAGGUGAGUGGAAUUCCUGGUGUAGCGGUGAAAUGCGCAGAUAUCAGGAGGAAUACCGGUGGCGAAGGCGGCAUCCUGGACCGACAUUGACGCUGAACGGCGAAAGCUAGGGGAGCAAACGGG
rnacentral:rRNA from 1 species